rnacentral:rRNA from 1 species
UACGUAGGUGGCAAGCGUUGUUCGGAAUUACUGGGCGUAAAGCGCGCGUAGGCGGCUCUUCAAGUCAGGCGUGAAAGCCCCGGGCUUAACCUCGGGAACGUGCGCUUGAUACUGUCGAGCUAGAGUGUGGAAGGGGCGAUUGGAAUUCCGUGUGUAGCGGUGAAAUGCGUAGAUAUACGGAGGAACACCAGAGGCGAAAGGCGGAUCGCUGGGGCCAACACUGACGCUGAUGUGCGAAAGCUAGGGGAGCAAACGGG